rnacentral:rRNA from 1 species
AACGAACGCUGGCGGCAGGCUUAACACAUGCAAGUCGAGCGCCGUAGCAAUACGGAGCGGCAGACGGGUGAGUAACGCGUGGGAAUCUACCCAUCACUACGGAACAACUCCGGGAAACUGGAGCUAAUACCGUAUACGUCCUUCGGGAGAAAGAUUUAUCGGUGAUGGAUGAGCCCGCGUUGGAUUAGCUAGUUGGUGGGGUAAUGGCCCACCAAGGCGACGAUCCAUAGCUGGUCUGAGAGGAUGAUCAGCCACACUGGGACUGAGACACGGCCCAGACUCCUACGGGAGGCAGCAGUGGGGAAUAUUGGACAAUGGGCGCAAGCCUGAUCCAGCCAUGCCGCGUGAGUGAUGAAGGCCCUAGGGUUGUAAAGCUCUUUCACCGGUGAAGAUAAUGACGGUAACCGGAGAAGAAGCCCCGGCUAACUUCGUGCCAGCCGCCGCAGUAA